AGUCAAGUAAUUAAGUGCAUGUGGUGGAUGCCUUGGCAGUCAGAGGCGAUGAAAGACGUGAUAGCCUGCGAAAAGCUCCGGGGAGGCGGCAAAUAUCCUUUGAUCCGGAGAUGUCUGAAUGGGGGAACCCACCUACUUUAAGGUAGGUAUUGCAACAUGAAUACAUAGUGUUGCAAGGCGAACGAGGGGAAGUGAAACAUCUCAGUACCCUUAGGAAAAGAAAUCAAUUGAGAUUCCCUCAGUAGCGGCGAGCGAACGGGGAUCAGCCCAUUAAGUUAUGUGUGUUUUAGUGGAACGCUCUGGGAAGUGCGAACGUAGAGGGUGAUAUUCCCGUACACGAAAGGGCACACAUAAUGAUGACGAGUAGGGCGAGGCACGUGAAACCUUGUCUGAAUAUGGGGGGACCAUCCUCCAAGGCUAAAUACUCCUGACUGACCGAUAGUGAACCAGUACCGUGAGGGAAAGGCGAAAAGAACCCCUGUGAGGGGAGUGAAAUAGAUCCUGAAACCGCAUGCAUACAAGCAGUGGGAGCACCUUCGUGGUGUGACUGCGUACCUUUUGUAUAAUGGGUCAGCGACUUAUAUUCAGUAGCGAGGUUAACCGUAUAGGGGAGCCGUAGAGAAAUCGAGUCUUAAUAGGGCGUUUAGUUGCUGGGUAUAGACCCGAAACCAGGCGAUCUAUCCAUGAGCAGGUUGAAGGUUGGGUAACACUAACUGGAGGACCGAACCCACUGUCGUUGAAAAGCCAGGGGAUGACUUGUGGAUAGGGGUGAAAGGCUAAUCAAGCCUGGUGAUAGCUGGUUCUCCCCGAAAGCUAUUUAGGUAGCGCCUCGGACGAAUACCAUAGGGGGUAGAGCACUGUUUCGGCUAGGGGGUCAUCCCGACUUACCAAACCGAUGCAAACUCCGAAUACCUAUGAGUACUAUCCGGGAGACAGACUGCGGGUGCUAACGUCCGUAGUCAAGAGGAAAACAAUCCAGACCGCCAGCUAAGGCCCCAAAAUCAUAGUUAAGGGAAACGAUGUGGGAAGGCAUAGACAGCUAGGAGGUUGGCUUAGAAGCAGCCACCCUUUAAAGAAAGCGUAAUAGCUCACUAGUCGAGUCGGCCUGCGCGGAAGAUGUAACGGGGCUAAAACUAUGUGCCGAAGCUGCGGAUGUAUACUUUGUAUACGUGGUAGGGGAGCGUUCUGUAAGCCGAUGAAGGUGUGUUGAGAAGCAUGCUGGAGGUAUCAGAAGUGCGAAUGCUGACGUGAGUAACGACAAAACGGGUGAAAAACCCGUUCGCCGAAAGACCAAGGGUUCCAGUCCAACGUUAAUCGGGGCUGGGUGAGUCGACCCCUAAGGCGAGGCCGAAAGGCGUAGUCGAUGGGAAAAUGGUUAAUAUUCCAUUACUUCUGUGUAAUGCGAUGAGAGGACGGAGAAGGCUAAAUCAGCCUGGCGUUGGUUGUCCAGGUGAAAGGAUGUAGGCAUGUAUCUUAGGCAAAUCCGGGGUACUCUAUGCUGAGAUUGAUAGCAAGCUGUACUUGUACAGCGAAGUGGUUGAUGCCAUGCUUCCAGGAAAAGUCUCUAAGCUUCAGUUACACAGGAAUCGUACCCGAAACCGACACAGGUGGUCAGGUCGAGUAGACCAAGGCGCUUGAGAGAACUCUGCUGAAGGAACUAGGCAAAAUGGUACCGUAACUUCGGGAGAAGGUACGCUGUUGUUGGUGAUGGAACUCGCUUCCUGAGCUGACGACAGCCGCAGAAACCAGGCCGCUGCAACUGUUUAUUAAAAACAUAGCACUCUGCAAACACGAAAGUGGACGUAUAGGGUGUGAUGCCUGCCCGGUGCUGGAAGGUUAAUUGAUGGGGUUAGCGUAAGCGAAGCUCUUGAUCGAAGCCCCAGUAAACGGCGGCCGUAACUAUAACGGUCCUAAGGUAGCGAAAUUCCUUGUCGGGUAAGUUCCGACCUGCACGAAUGGCAUAAUGAUGGCGGCGCUGUCUCCAGCAGAGGCUCAGUGAAAUCGAAAUCGCUGUGAAGAUGCAGUGUACCCGCGGCUAGACGGAAAGACCCCGUGAACCUUUACUGCAGCUUGACACUGAACUUUGACCUUACUUGUGUAGGAUAGGUGGAGGCUUUGAAGCUGGAACGCUAGUUCCAGUGGAGCCGUCCUUGAAAUACCACCCUGGUAAUGUUGAGGUUCUAACUCUGUCCCGUGAUCCGGGACGAGGACCGUGUCUGGUGGGUAGUUUGACUGGGGCGGUCUCCUCCUAAAGAGUAACGGAGGAGUACGAAGGUGCGCUCAGCGUGGUCGGAAAUCACGCGUAGAGUAUAAAGGCAAAAGCGCGCUUAACUGCGAGACCCACAAGUCGAGCAGGUACGAAAGUAGGUCUUAGUGAUCCGGUGGUUCUGUAUGGAAGGGCCAUCGCUCAACGGAUAAAAGGUACUCUGGGGAUAACAGGCUGAUACCGCCCAAGAGUUCAUAUCGACGGCGGUGUUUGGCACCUCGAUGUCGGCUCAUCUCAUCCUGGGGCUGAAGCAGGUCCCAAGGGUAUGGCUGUUCGCCAUUUAAAGAGGUACGCGAGCUGGGUUUAGAACGUCGUGAGACAGUUCGGUCCCUAUCUACCGUGGGCGCUGGAAAUUUGAGAGGAUCUGCUCCUAGUACGAGAGGACCAGAGUGGACGAACCUCUGGUGUACCGGUUGUGACGCCAGUCGCAUCGCCGGGUAGCUAUGUUCGGAAGGGAUAACCGCUGAAAGCAUCUAAGCGGGAAGCCUACCUCAAGAUAAGAUUUCCCUAGGACUUUAUGUCCUCUAAAGAGCCGUUCGAGACUAGGACGUUGAUAGGUUGGAUGUGGAAGCAUAGUGAUAUGUGAAGCUGACCAAUACUAAUUGCUCGUGAGGCUUGACUAU
rnacentral:rRNA from 1 species